rnacentral:misc_RNA from 1 species
UGCAAGAACGCCUUGGUUGUUU